rnacentral:lncRNA from 1 species
AGAAAGAACACAUAAUAAGGAUCUUAAUUUUCAAGAGGCAUUCCUUCGGUUAUCACGCUGAGCAACAACCAGUUGCAGCAAAACAAUCAAUAACACUUAAAACUACCAAACUAAAACCUUAAGCCUGAGAAUCUGCAUCUCCAUACAUAACACAACAACAAAUACCUAUACAUAAGUGGUCAAAUUCACUAUUGAACUAUCUUCCAGAAAGGAUCAUCAAAUUAUUCUCAGGUUCCAGAGUGAAUGCCUACAUCACGAUCACACGCAAUGGGCACAAGCAUCCGCUUACUGAAGGCCCGUGUUUGCACCUAAAGCCAAGCAAGAGCUUAGACUCGAGCUUCGUACCAGGCCAAUGUUGUCCAUGAUUCGCAAGCACGUCCUUUAAGUUCUUGAAACAGAGUAGAAACCUGCAUAUAUUUGUAAUCAGAAAUUAGAGAGAUCAACAAAGAAAAAGGAGGGAAAGUCUCAUUAUUUUGGGAAUUCCUAUUUUAUUAGGGAAAGGGAGCACAAGAGAUUCUUAAUCCAUCCUAGUGAGGUUACAAUAUCCAUGCAAAAAACCAGGGGGAAAGAGGAGGCAGUAAUUCCAUGUAAGAAUCAUAAUGUAGUACCAGUAGUGACAUAGAAUAACAUAGAGAUUGCGAUAAGGUUUUAUAAUGUAUAUAUAUGGCAUGGAUCUCACCAUUAUUUGCUGGAGAUUAAUAACACAAAUUAUUAUUUUUGCAUGUAUCCUGCCAUCACGUGCAUUAUUUCAUUUUAGUACUUAGUAAACAACAAAGUUAAACUUGCACCAUCCCAACAAGUGGAUCUUCUAGUUACUCUGUCAAUCAACAUAUUGACUUGAAAAGAACUAAUAUUCCAUACAAUCGAGAAAAUAAAAUUCAAGUAGCAACAAUGCAGGUAUAUGGACUGAACUCUUCCUCAAAAUAAUACGUAUAUGCUUCAGAUUUAACUACCAUGUAUUUAUUCCACCUAUCUUCUAACCAGAUAGUUUAAGAGACUCUCACUAAAAAUGUUAAAAUGAGAAUCCUAUGAAAUAUCAUGAAAUACAGAAGGUUCUUUAUAAAUGAAGAAGAUGGUUAACAGGGCAAGCUUAGAAUAAUCCACUAAAGCAAAGAAUGUGAGUAUAAUUGAAAAAAGCAUGUCACAGCAAUUCCACACACACACACACAAUGUGCCACAUAGAAAUUCAGGAUAGCAAAAGAAAAAAUUAGUUACUUAGCCUUAUAUCAAUCUCCACCGAUGGUUGGAUCCUCCAUUGCUGCAACUCCGCCUGCUUUUAAUGGCAUAGGUGAGCGCGCGCACACACACACACAAUGACCUAUAGGCGGCCGACGGAUUACGUUAGCGUAUCACGUGAGGUUGAGAAAGCACGUAUCCAUGUCGAGCACCAAUGGGCUUGUUUGCACAUAUUUUGAAUGAUGAUAGUAUCAAAGUGACUUGAGGUGC